CUACGGGUCGCAGCAGUAGGGAAUCUUCCACAAUGGGCGAAAGCUUGAUGGAGCAACGCCGCGUGAGUGAAGAAGGUUUUCGGAUCGUAAAACUCUGUUGUAAGGGAAGAACAAGUACAGUAGUAACUGGCUGUACCUUGACGGUACCUUAUUAGAAAGCCACGGCUAACUACGUGCCAGCAGCCGCGGUAAUACGUAGGUGGCAAGCGUUGUCCGGAAUUAUUGGGCGUAAAGCGCGCGCAGGCGGUCCUUUAAGUCGGAUGUGAAAGCCCACGGCUCAACCGUGGAGGGUCAUUGGAAACUGGGGGACUUGAGUGCAGAAGAGGAAAGUGGAAUUCCAAGUGUAGCGGUGAAAUGCGUAGAGAUUUGGAGGAACACCAGUGGCGAAGGCGACUUUCUGGUCUGUAACUGACGCUGAGGCGCGAAAGCGUGGGGAGCAAACAGGAUUAGAUACCCUGGUAGUC
rnacentral:rRNA from 1 species